UACGGAGGGUGCAGGCGUUAUCCGGAUUUAUUGGGUUUAAAGGGUCCGUAGGCGGAUCUGUAAGUCAGUGGUGAAAUCUCACAGCUUAACUGUGAAACUGCCAUUGAUACUGCAGGUCUUGAGUGUUAUUGAAGUAGCUGGAAUAAGUAGUGUAGCGGUGAAAUGCAUAGAUAUUACUUAGAACACCAAUUGCGAAGGCAGGUUACUAAGCAACAACUGACGCUGAUGGACGAAAGCGUGGGGAGCGAACAGG
rnacentral:rRNA from 1 species